UCCGGGAGCAACAGAAAUAAGGGUGAUCCAGCUACCAACUCUCUCUGGUUUGCUCAUCUAUGUGAUUCUCAGUUCGGAAACAAAUGCCGUUGGGUGUUGAAUUCUGUUGCCAGUUUAAUUUUUUUAUUUUCCUUUCUGCACGGAAAGCAUCCUUCUCCGUUAGUAAUGGUUUCCUGGAUUGCGUUGGGAAGGCGGCCUUCAUGAGAAAACCGUUCCCAGACAGUAUUGGAAAGUUGCGGAUCCAUUUUUACCAUUUCUCCAAGUAUGGUUUGAAACAGUAACUGUCAGAUUCCGGAAGUAUCAGUAGCCUCAUGCUGGAUUUCUAGUGCCACAGCCCCAUGCACACAGCAGCAGCAUCUCCCUGGGAUAUGCCUGGGCAUGAUUGUGACUUUGAGUGCCUGCUGCCCCCAGAGUCCUCUCAUCACAGCUCUCCUCUGUCCUCAUUGGCAUCACCAGUUGGGCGACUUAUAAAGGCCCUGCCUAAGGAGAAAAAUCACAAUGCCUGGCAUGUUACUAAGUGCAAGACCUUGCAUUCAUC